GACGAACGCUGGCGGCGUGCUUAACACAUGCAAGUCGAACGGAAAGGCCCUGCUUUUGUGGGGUGCUCGAGUGGCGAACGGGUGAGUAACACGUGAGUAACCUGCCCUUGACUUUGGGAUAACUUCAGGAAACUGGGGCUAAUACCGGAUAGGAGCUCCUGCUGCAUGGUGUGGGUUGGAAAGUUUCGGCGGUUGGGGAUGGACUCGCGGCUUUCAGCUUGUUGGUGGGGUAGUGGCUUACCAAGGCUUUGACGGGUAGCCGGCCUGAGAGGGUGACCGGCCACAUUGGGACUGAGAUACGGCCCAGACUCCUACGGGAGGCAGCAGUGGGGAAUAUUGCACAAUGGGCGGAAGCCUGAUGCAGCAACGCCGCGUGCGGGAUGACGGCCUUCGGGUUGUAAACCGCUUUCGCCUGUGACGAAGCGUGAGUGACGGUAAUGGGUAAAGAAGCACCGGCUAACUACGUG
rnacentral:rRNA from 1 species